rnacentral:rRNA from 1 species
AGGCUAGAGUCUUGUAGAGGGGGGUAGAAUUCCAGGUGUAGCGGUGAAAUGCGUAGAGAUCUGGAGGAAUACCGGUGGCGAAGGCGGCCCCCUGGACAAAGACUGACGCUCAGGUGCGAAAGCGUGGGGAGCAAACAGGAUUAGAUACCCUGGUAGUCCACGCCGUAAACGAUGUCGAUUUGGAGGUUGUGCCCUUGAGGCGUGGCUUCCGGAGCUAACGCGUUAAAUCGACCGCCUGGGGAGUACGGCCGCAAGGUUAAAACUCAAAUGAAUUGACGGGGGCCCGCACAAGCGGUGGAGCAUGUGGUUUAAUUCGAUGCAACGCGAAGAACCUUACCUGGUCUUGACAUCCACAGAACUUUCCAGAGAUGGAUUGGUGCCUUCGGGAACUGUGAGACAGGUGCUGCAUGGCUGUCGUCAGCUCGUGUUGUGAAAUGUUGGGUUAAGUCCCGCAACGAGCGCAACCCU